UGUUCUGUGGCUUAGUUGGUUAACGCGCCGGACUUGUGAUACGAAGUCGUGGGUUCGAAUCCUUUCAAAACAA
rnacentral:tRNA from 1 species